CUUGAAGUCUAGGGGAGGGUCAUGGGAAAGAAACUACCUCCACGGGCUUUUCCCCGAAACAUUUUACCUCAGGUACAUUAACAGCAAAAAGCGUUUACGAUGAAAACUCUUCUCUCUGCAUAUGUCCAGCUCCCAUUCAUGUGUACCCAUCACUCAACAAUUAGUCCCUUUAGAGGAGUCAGUAGCUCCUCUGGUCUGAAUGCAAUGAGACAAAGCAGUGCUGCUCUCUGGUGCUACAUGUCCAUUUCUGGAGGCUGACAGUGUUCAGAUCUGAUCAUCUGGGCUGACAUAAGCACUUUCAACUAGUUGUAAACUUUUAAGCAGAAAUAAUGGAUUUGAAGUGUUUUUUCAAAGCUGUUUCCAGUCUCAGUGGAGUGGGCCAGUGGAAGAGAAGAAAGAAAGAAGUGGAUUGGAAGUCAACUUUGUCCCAUCAAAAGAAUGAGGAGUGGAAGGAUUCAUGCAAUUAGUGAAGCUGCAGAACUUUUUGUUACAAUGAAAGGAGCUGCCCCGUCUGAGGAAAGGAUGAACGUCUGCAUACUCUGGUUGAAAGAGGGGAGAGUGCAUAGAGUGAGACCUUUUUUCCACGGACAGGGCAGAGGCCCCGCACAGGUCCCCAGAGAACUCCCAGCACUUUAUAAUCAGAAGUCUGGAAUUUGAAAAUAAAUGGAGCAACACAAUAUGCCCUGCA
rnacentral:lncRNA from 1 species